rnacentral:rRNA from 1 species
CGGAGGAUCCAAGCGUUAUCCGGAAUCAUUGGGUUUAAAGGGUCCGUAGGCGGGCCUGUAAGUCAGUGGUGAAAUCUUUCGGCUCAACCGGAAAAUUGCCAUUGAUACUGCAGGCCUUGAAUUAUUGGGAAGUAACUAGAAUAUGUAGUGUAGCGGUGAAAUGCUUAGAUAUUACAUGGAAUACCGAUUGCGAAGGCAGGUUACUACCAAUACAUUGACGCUGAUGGACGAAAGCGUGGGGAGCGAACAGGAUUAGAUACCCUGGUAGUCCACGCCGUAAACGAUGGAUACUAGCUGUUGGGAGCAAUCUCAGUGGCUAAGCGAAAGUGAUAAGUAUCCCACCUGGGGAGUACGAACGCAAGUUUG